UUUUCAAGGAAUUAUGUACAUGUAUAUUUUUUAUAAUUUAUAUAUAUAUUUGAAUUUAUUAUAGGUGUCAAAAUCUUAAAUAACCCAAAUGUCUGCAUAUGAAAUUCGUGUAUCCUAUUAAGGUUUUAGACGGUCUAGAUUUAACAUAUUUCAUCAUUUGGACGGUCUAGAUUUAACGAGAAGAGAAGUAAAAUAUGCGGUGAACGUGGAUCGAACACGUGACCUUCAGAUCUUCAGUCU
rnacentral:lncRNA from 1 species